rnacentral:rRNA from 1 species
UGAGGAAUAUUGGUCAAUGGACGAGAGUCUGAACCAGCCAAGUAGCGUGAAGGAUGACUGCCCUAUGGGUUGUAAACUUCUUUUAUACGGGAAUAAAGUGAGCCACGUGUGGCUUUUUGUAUGUACCGUAUGAAUAAGGAUCGGCUAACUCCGUGCCAGCAGCCGCGGUAAUACGGAGGAUCCGAGCGUUAUCCGGAUUUAUUGGGUUUAAAGGGAGCGUAGGCGGGUUGUUAAGUCAGUUGUGAAAGUUUGCGGCUCAACCGUAAAAUUGCAGUUGAUACUGGCGACCUUGAGUGCAACAGAGGUAGGCGGAAUUCGUGGUGUAGCGGUGAAAUGCUUAGAUAUCACGAAGAACUCCGAUUGCGAAGGCAGCUUACUGGAUUGUAACUGACGCUGAUGC